GACGAACGCUGGCGGCGUGCUUAACACAUGCAAGUCGAACGGAAAGGCCUGCUUUCCCUUGUGGAUUGCGGGUACUCGAGUGGCGAACGGGUGAGUAACACGUGAGUGAUCUGCCCCCAACUUGGGUAUAAGCCUGGGAAACUGGGUCUAAUUCCCGAUAGGACUGCAGGGUGGUGCCUGUGGUGGAAAACGAUUUUCUAGUGGUUGGGGAUGAGCUCGCGGCCUAUCAGCUUGUUGGUGGGGUAAUGGCCUACCAAGGCGGCGACGGGUAGCCGGCCUGAGAGGGUGGACGGCCACAUUGGGAUUGAGAUACGGCCCAGACUCCUACGGGAGGCAGCAGUGGGGAAUAUUGCACAAUGGGCGGAAGCCUGAUGCAGCGACGCCGCGUGGGGGAUGACGGCCUUCGGGUUGUAAACUCCUUUCGACCGCGAGGAAGCCACCUGGUUGGAAGGGUGGUGACGGUAGUGGUAGAAGAAGCACCGGCUAACUACGUG
rnacentral:rRNA from 1 species